GGAAUAUUGCACAAUGGGCGCAAGCCUGAUGCAGCAACGCCGCGUGAGGGACGACGGCCUUCGGGUUGUAAACCUCUUUUGGCAGGGAAGAAGCGACUGUGCUUACACAGGAGUGACGGUACCUGCAGAAGAAGCACCGGCUAACUACGUGCCAGCAGCCGCGGUAAUACGUAGGGUGCAAGCGUUGUCCGGAAUUAUUGGGCGUAAAGAGCUCGUAGGCGGUCUGUCGCGUCUGCUGGGAAAACCCGAGGCUCAACCUCGGGCCUGCAGUGGGUACGGGCAGACUAGAGUGCGGUAGGGGAGAUUGGAAUUCCUGGUGUAGCGGUGGAAUGCGCAGAUAUCAGGAGGAACACCGAUGGCGAAGGCAGAUCUCUGGGCCGUAACUGACGCUGAGGAGCGAAAGCGUGGGGAGC
rnacentral:rRNA from 1 species